UACGUAGGGUGCGAGCGUUAAUCGGAAUUACUGGGCGUAAAGCGUGCGCAGGCGGUUCGCCAAGUCAGGUGUGAAAUCCCCGGGCUUAACCUGGGAAUUGCGCUUGAAACUAGCGGGCUUGAGUGUGGCAGAGGGGGGUGGAAUUCCACGUGUAGCAGUGAAAUGCGUAGAGAUGUGGAGGAACACCGAUGGCGAAGGCAGCUCGCUGGGACGGUACUGACGCUGAGACGCGAAAGCGUGGGGAGCAAACAGG
rnacentral:rRNA from 1 species